rnacentral:rRNA from 1 species
GACGAACGCUGGCGGCGUGCUUAACACAUGCAAGUCGAACGGAAAGGCCCUGCUUUUGUGGGGUGCUCGAGUGGCGAACGGGUGAGUAACACGUGAGUAACCUGCCCUUGACUUUGGGAUAACUUCAGGAAACUGGGGCUACUACCGUAUAGGAUCUCCCGCUGCAUGGUGGGGGUUGGAAAGUUUCGGCGGUCGGGGAUGGACUCGCGGCUUAUCAGCUUGUUGGUGGGGUAGUGGCUUACCAAGGCUUUGACGGGUAGCCGGCCUGUGAGGGUGACCGGCCACAAUGGGACUGAGAGAGGGAGCAGACUCGUACGGGAGGCAGCAGUGGGGAAUAUUGCACAGUGGGCGGAAGCCUGAUGCAGCAGCGCCGCGGGCGGGAUGACGGCCUUCGGGUUGUAAACCGCUUUCGCCUGUGACGAAGCGUGAGUGACGGUAAUGGGUAAAGAAGCACCGGCUAACUACGUG